rnacentral:tRNA from 1 species
AGAAAUUUAGGAUCAUUCCAGACCAAGGGCCUUCAAAGCCCUAAGAGGGAGUUGAAAUCUCCCAAUUUCUA